rnacentral:rRNA from 1 species
GACGAACGCUGGCGGCGUGCUUAACACAUGCAAGUCGAGCGGAAAGGCCACUUCGGUGGUACUCGAGCGGCGAACGGGGGAGUAACACGUGAGUAAUCUGCCCCCGGCUUUGGGAUAGCCACCGGAAACGGUGAUUAAUACCGGAUACGACCACUUCUCGCAUGGGAUGGUGGUGGAAAGUUUUUUCGGCCAGGGAUGUGCUCGCGGCCUAUCAGCUUGAUGGUGAGGUAAUGGCUCACCAUGGCUUCGACGGGUAGCCGGCCUGGGAGGGUGACCGGUCACACUGGGACUGAGACACGGCGCAGACUCCUACGGGAGGCAGCAGUGGGGAAUAUUGGACAAUGGGCGGAAGCCUGAUCCAGCAACGCCGCGUGAGGGAUGACGGCCUUCGGGUUGUAAACCUCUUUCAGCAGGGACGAAGCGCAAGUGACGGUACCUGCAGAAGAAGCACCGGCCAACUACGUGCCAGCCGCCGCGGUAA